rnacentral:rRNA from 1 species
UACGUAGGGUGCGAGCGUUGUCCGGAAUUAUUGGGCGUAAAGAGCUCGUAGGCGGUCUGUCGCGUCGGUCGUGAAAACCUGCAGCUUAACUGUGGGCUUGCGGUCGAUACGGGCAUGACUGGAGUUCGGCAGGGGAGACUGGAAUUCCUGGUGUAGCGGUGAAAUGCGCAGAUAUCAGGAGGAACACCGGUGGCGAAGGCGGGUCUCUGGGCCGAUACUGACGCU